rnacentral:rRNA from 1 species
GAUGAACGCUGGCGGCGUGCCUAAUACAUGCAAGUCGAGCGAACGGACGAGAAGCUUGCUUCUCUGAUGUUAGCGGCGGACGGGUGAGUAACACGUGGAUAACCUACCUAUAAGACUGGGAUAACUUCGGGAAACCGGAGCUAAUACCGGAUAAUAUUUUGAACCGCAUGGUUCAAAAGUGAAAGACGGUCUUGCUGUCACUUAUAGAUGGAUCCGCGCUGCAUUAGCUAGUUGGUAAGGUAACGGCUUACCAAGGCAACGAUGCAUAGCCGACCUGAGAGGGUGAUCGGCCACACUGGAACUGAGACACGGUCCAGACUCCUACGGGAGGCAGCAGUAGGGAAUCUUCCGCAAUGGGCGAAAGCCUGACGGAGCAACGCCGCGUGAGUGAUGAAGGUCUUCGGAUCGUAAAACUCUGUUAUUAGGGAAGAACAUAUGUGUAAGUAACUGUGCACAUCUUGACGGUACCUAAUCAGAAAGCCACGGCUAACUACGUGCCAGCAGCCGCGGUAAUACGUAGGUGGCAAGCGUCAUCCGGAAUUAUUGGGCGUAAAGCGCGCGUAGGCGGUUUUUUAAGUCUGAUGUGAAAGCCCACGGCUCAACCGUGGAGGGUCAUUGGAAACUGGAAAACUUGAGUGCAGAAGAGGAAAGUGGAAUUCCAUGUGUAGCGGUGAAAUGCGCAGAGAUAUGGAGGAACACCAGUGGCGAAGGCGACUUUCUGGUCUGUAACUGACGCUGAUGUGCGAAAGCGUGGGGAUCAAACAGGAUUAGAUACCCUGGUAGUCCACGCCGUAAACGAUGAGUGCUAAGUGUUAGGGGGUUUCCGCCCCUUAGUGCUGCAGCUAACGCAUUAAGCACUCCGCCUGGGGAGUACGACCGCAAGGUUGAAACUCAAAGGAAUUGACGGGGACCCGCACAAGCGGUGGAGCAUGUGGUUUAAUUCGAAGCAACGCGAAGAACCUUACCAAAUCUUGACAUCCUUUGACAACUCUAGAGAUAGAGCCUUCCCCUUCGGGGGACAAAGUGACAGGUGGUGCAUGGUUGUCGUCAGCUCGUGUCGUGAGAUGUUGGGUUAAGUCCCGCAACGAGCGCAACCCUUAAGCUUAGUUGCCAUCAUUAAGUUGGGCACUCUAAGUUGACUGCCGGUGACAAACCGGAGGAAGGUGGGGAUGACGUCAAAUCAUCAUGCCCCUUAUGAUUUGGGCUACACACGUGCUACAAUGGACAAUACAAAGGGCAGCGAAACCGCGAGGUCAAGCAAAUCCCAUAAAGUUGUUCUCAGUUCGGAUUGUAGUCUGCAACUCGACUACAUGAAGCUGGAAUCGCUAGUAAUCGUAGAUCAGCAUGCUACGGUGAAUACGUUCCCGGGUCU